rnacentral:tRNA from 1 species
GCCUGGGUGGCUCAGUCGGUUGAGCGUCCGACUUCAGCUCAGGUCACGAUCUCGCAGUCUGUGAGUUCGAGCCCCAUGUCAGGCU